rnacentral:rRNA from 1 species
GACGAACGCUGGCGGCGUGCUUAACACAUGCAAGUCGAACGGAAAGGCCCUGCUUUUGUGGGGUGCUCGAGUGGCGAACGGGUGAGUAACACGUGAGUAACCUGCCCUUGACUUUGGGAUAACUUCAGGAAACUGGGGCUAAUACCGGAUAGGAGCUCCUGCUGCAUGGUGGGGGUUGGAAAGUUUCGGCGGUUGGGGAUGGACUCGCGGCUUAUCAGCUUGUUGGUGGGGUAGUGGCUUACCAAGGCUUUGACGGGUAGCCGGCCUGAGAGGGUGACCGGCGUCAUUGGGACUGAGAUACGCCGCAGACUCCUACGGGAGGCAGCAGUGGGGAAUAUGGCACAGUGGGCGGAAGCCUGAGGCAGCAACGCCGCGUGCGGGAUGACGGCCUUCGGGUUGUAAACCGCUUUCGCCUGUGACGAAGCGUGAGUGACGGUAAUGGGUAAAGAAGCACCGGCUAACUACGUG